rnacentral:rRNA from 1 species
AACGAACGCUGGCGGCAUGCCUAACACAUGCAAGUCGAACGAGAUCUUCGGGUCUAGUGGCGCACGGGUGCGUAACGCGUGGGAAUCUGCCCUUUGGUUCGGAAUAACAGUUGGAAACGACUGCUAAUACCGGAUGAUGACGAAAGUCCAAAGAUUUAUCGCCAGAGGAUGAGCCCGCGUAGGAUUAGCUAGUUGGUGUGGUAAAGGCGCACCAAGGCGACGAUCCUUAGCUGGGCUGAGAGGAUGAUCAGCCACACUGGGACUGAGACACGGCCCAGACUCCUACGGGAGGCAUCAGUGGGGAAUAUUGGACAAUGGGCGAAAGCCUGAUCCAGCAAUGCCGCGUGAGUGAUGAGGGCCUUAGGGUUGUAAAGCUCUUUUACCCGGGAUGAUAAUGACAGUACCGGGAGAAUAAGCUCCGGCUAACUCCGUGCCAGCCGCCGCGGUAA